rnacentral:rRNA from 1 species
AACGAACGCUGGCGGCAUGCCUAACACAUGCAAGUCGAACGAGACCUUCGGGUCUAGUGGCGCACGGGUGCGUAACGCGUGGGAACCUGCCCUUAGGUUCGGAAUAACUCCCCGAAAGGGGUGCUAAUACCGGAUAAUGUCUUCGGACCAAAGAUUUAUCGCCUUUGGAUGGGCCCGCGUCGGAUUAGCUAGUUGGUAGGGUAAAAGCCUACCAAGGCGACGAUCCAUAGCUGGUCUGAGAGGAUGAUCAGCCACACUGGGACUGAGACACGGCCCAGACUCCUACGGGAGGCAGCAGUGGGGAAUAUUGGACAAUGGGCGAAAGCCUGAUGCAGCAAUGCCGCGUGAGUGAUGAAGGCCUUAGGGUUGUAAAGCUCUUUUAGCCGGGAUGAUAAUGACAGUACCGGGAGAAUAAGCUCCGGCUAACUCCGUG